AGUGAACGCUGGCGGUAGGCCUAACACAUGCAAGUCGAACGGCAGCACAGUAAGAGCUUGCUCUUACGGGUGGCGAGUGGCGGACGGGUGAGGAAUACAUCGGAAUCUACUUUUUCGUGGGGGAUAACGUAGGGAAACUUACGCUAAUACCGCAUACGACCUACGGGUGAAAGCAGGGGAUCUUCGGACCUUGCGCGAUUGAAUGAGCCGAUGUCGGAUUAGCUAGUUGGCGGGGUAAAGGCCCACCAAGGCGACGAUCCGUAGCUGGUCUGAGAGGAUGAUCAGCCAAACUGGAACUGAGACACGGUCCAGACUCCUACGGGAGGCAGCAGUGGGGAAUAUCGGACAAUGGGCGCAAGCCUGAUCCAGCCAGACCGCGUGGGUGAAGAAGGCCUUCGGGUUGUAAAGCCCUUUUGUUGGGAAAGAAAAGCAGCAGGUUAAUACCCCGCUGUUCUGACGGUACCCAAAGAAUAAGCACCGGCUAACUUCGUG
rnacentral:rRNA from 1 species